rnacentral:rRNA from 1 species
AAUAGAUACCCGGGUAGUCCACGCCGUAAACGAUGAGUGCUAAGUGUUAGAGGGUUUCCGCCCUUUAGUGCUGAAGUUAACGCAUUAAGCACUCCGCCUGGGGAGUACGGCCGCAAGGCUGAAACUCAAAGGAAUUGACGGGGGCCCGCACAAGCGGUGGAGCAUGUGGUUUAAUUCGAAGCAACGCGAAGAACCUUACCAGGUCUUGACAUCCUCUGACAACCCUAGAGAUAGGGCUUCUCCUUCGGGAGCAGAGUGACAGGUGGUGCAUGGUUGUCGUCAGCUCGUGUCGUGAGAUGUUGGGUUAAGUCCCGCAACGAGCGCAACCCUUGAUCUUAGUUGCCAUCAUUAAGUUGGGCACUCUAAGGUGACUGCCGGUGACAAACCGGAGGAAGGUGGGGGUGACGUCAAAUCAUCAUGCCCCUUAUGACCUGGGCUACACACGUGCUACAAUGGACGGUACAAAGAGCUGCAAGACCGCGAGGUGGAGCUAAUCUCAUAAAACCGUUCUCAGUUCGGAUUGUAGGCUGC